rnacentral:snRNA from 1 species
AUACUUACCUGGCAAGGGAGACACAGUGAUCAAGAAGGCGGUUCACCCAGGGCGAGGCUCAGCCAUUGCACUCCGGCUGUGCUGACCCCUGCGAAUUUCCCAAAUGUGGAAAUCUCGAUUGCAUAAUUUCUGGUAGUGGGGGACUGCGUUCGCGCUCUCCCCUG